GAUGAACGCUGGCGGCGUGCCUAAUACAUGCAAGUCGAGCGAACAGACGAGGAGCUUGCUCCUCUGACGUUAGCGGCGGACGGGUGAGUAACACGUGGAUAACCUACCUAUAAGACUGGGAUAACUUCGGGAAACCGGAGCUAAUACCGGAUAAUAUAUUGAACCGCAUGGUUCAAUAGUGAAAGACGGUUUUGCUGUCACUUAUAGAUGGAUCCGCGCCGCAUUAGCUAGUUGGUAAGGUAACGGCUUACCAAGGCGACGAUGCGUAGCCGACCUGAGAGGGUGAUCGGCCACACUGGAACUGAGACACGGUCCAGACUCCUACGGGAGGCAGCAGUAGGGAAUCUUCCGCAAAGGGCGAAAGCCUGACGGAGCAACGCCGCGUGAGUGAUGAAGGUCUUCGGAUCGUAAAACUCUGUUAUUAGGGAAGAGCAAAUGUGUAAGUAACUAUGCACGUCUUGACGGUACCUAAUCAGAAAGCCACGGCUAACUACGUG
rnacentral:rRNA from 1 species